rnacentral:sRNA from 1 species
UAAGGUUACUUGUUUUAUAGUUUUAUGAAAUAACCCCUUGAUUCAGGCUUUUGAUACAUUAAGAAUUUUUAUAACGCACGAUAUGUGCAAGGAGGUUUCAUAUUAUGAAACAAGGUACUGUUAAAUGGUUCAACGCUGAUAAAGGUUACGGUUUUAUCACUACUGAAGACGGUGACGUAUUCGUUCACUUCUCAGCUAUCAACAAAGAAGGUUUCAAGACUCUAGAAGAAGGCGAAAAGGUUACAUUGGACGUUGAAGACGGCGACCGUGGACCACAAGCUGCUAACGUUACUCCUGCAUAAGGAUAACCUCUUAGUUAACUUUUAGUUUAAAAAGAGAUCAAAAACACCCGAGAUUUUCUCGGGUGUUUUUUU